GCGCGAGUGGCGGAAUGGCAGACGCGAUAGAUUUAGGUUCUAUUGUCCGGACGGACGUGGGGGUUCGACUCCCCCCUCGCGCA
rnacentral:tRNA from 1 species